rnacentral:rRNA from 1 species
GAUGAACGCUAGCGGCAGGCUUAACACAUGCAAGUCGAGGGGUAUAGGUUUUCGGACCUAGAGACCGGCGCACGGGUGCGUAACGCGUAUGCAAUCUACCUUUCACAGAGGGAUAGCCCAGAGAAAUUUGGAUUAAUACCUCAUAGUAUUAUGAAGUGGCAUCAUUUUAUAAUUAAAGUUCCAACGGUGAAAGAUGAGCAUGCGUCCCAUUAGCUAGAUGGUAAGGUAACGGCUUACCAUGGCGACGAUGGGUAGGGGUCCUGAGAGGGAGAUCCCCCACACUGGUACUGAGACACGGACCAGACUCCUACGGGAGGCAGCAGUGAGGAAUAUUGGUCAAUGGACGCAAGUCUGAACCAGCCAUGCCGCGUGCAGGAUGACGGUCCUAUGGAUUGUAAACUGCUUUUGUACGAGAAGAAACACUCCUUCGUGAAGGAGCUUGACGGUAUCGUAAGAAUAAGGAUCGGCUAACUCCGUGCCAGCCGCCGCCGUAA